CUUCAAAAAACAAUCAAUUUUCAAAUUAACAAAAUCAUUCCAUACCAAUAUUUGCUCUUAUCAGUCUUCUUAAAGAGUGUACCCGAGAACAAAGUUAUUUUCAUACGAAAUCUCUCGAGAGUAAUCUCGAUAAAAUGCAUUACUGCCAAAGCAAGCACAUAAAAUUUCAAAAAUAGCAAAGCUGAUAAAAAAUUUCGUAAUUCACAUAAAAUCGUUUUUGAACGAUGUAACAUAAAACAUUUCGUUCGAUUUCGAUUUUGAUCGAGGAAGCACGCUCUCUGUCGUUAGGGACGUCGACGAACGAUUGUUCUCCCAGAAUACCGUGAAAGUGAGAGAGAGAGAGAGAAAGCUGUGAUUCAGCUGGAGCUCGCGCGAAUCGAGAGCGACUCAAGUUCAAUGAUAAUCGAGACGGACUUGGCACGCGUCACGCGACCGGAUUCUCUCUUCGUUGAUCUUGGACCGAUAGUGGCGCCACGCUAGCUACAGACAUGGCGUCGAUCAUGUUUCUGGGCGAAACAGAUCUGUCAGCGAAACAACGGCUCUGCAACGUGUGUAUUGCCUCGUGUUCAACGAAGCUUCUUAAAAGAAUGUAUUAAGGCAAAUCGAUUAUUUAAACAGACAGUGAGACACAUUUCGAUUGAAAGAGACUUAGAAAUAAAUAUCGACUCGGAAAAAAAUAAAA